rnacentral:lncRNA from 1 species
GACCCCCCCUCCGGCUCUGCCAAUGGCGGGGACGCGCGGGCUGCGGGGACCCGGGCCCGCGGGGCCCCCUCCCCCGCGCUCCAGUCCCGCGGGGGCGCGGCUGCGGCAGCCGGGACGGCUUAUUUAUUUAUUUCCGAUGUGUGCUCCGCGUCGCCAUGGCAACUGCUCCAUCUUUUCCGGCGUCACUGGGGCACCGCUGCUUUCAAACCUUCCCGGGACAGGGAUUGCUAAGAGGCCGUCCCUCCUCUCGCCGGCCUCAGCCCCCCGCUGCACAGACGCCUCCUCCUUCCCGGCUGGAGUCUCAUCCAUUCACUCCCUCCAAUUUUCCACUUAAAUUACCCCCCCCUUCUCAGGAAUGGGAAUGCCCACCCCCGGAAUUUUGAGGGCUUCCGCCGUCUGCCAGCCCCUUUCCCCCUAGCACUUACGGCCUUUACCUUUGCCCCCCUCUUCUGAAGGUGUCGAGACUCAGCCCUCGUUUCCCAAGUGAAAACCCACUCCCCUUCCCUAUUCCCUCGCCGGGUUCCCUUGGCCCCACUAUCUAGCAUGUAGUGGCGCCCUCGGGUUGGGAGGACCAAGCUCUGAAAACACUCCCAUUUCUAGGCCAUCUCAGUUUAUUUUCCUUGUGCUUUCCCUUUGUUCCUACUAAAAUUACUUUGGAAAAAAUCCAGCUGUGUUGGCUCAACUAGCGGAGCGUGUUUUCGUCAUCUGUACCUGGCAGAGGGCGGCCGGGGAAGGCCCUGGGGAGAGAGGCUGAGAGGUGAGGAGGGAGGGAGGGCCGGCCCCUCCUUGCCUUCCCUUCCCCCACGCUGGGCUGCUGGCUGCGGGGAUUUACAGGGAACCACUGCUUCUGAACCACAUCUGGAUGGUGAGACUCUUGGCAUAUUCAUGACCUCAGGAGUGGUGGAUUGGGACUCCAGAAGCAACUCAUUACAAGUGUGUGGAGCCUUAUUUCAUUGUUUGGGUAAAGGCCUUCUCCAAAGGAUCCUGAUGACUCCUGAUGAAUCAUCAUGUCCAGGGUGCCUUGUGAUUCUCAUUUUUAACUUCCUGUGGAAACCACAUGACCCAUCAAGAAAUGGUUCAGAGUAUUGUCACUGGACACCUUUCCAGACUGAAAGCCAAAAGAAAAGUUUGGUAAAGUGCAAUUUAUCCUCAGAAGACUAUUUCCACCAGCAUGUACUCAGGGGCCCCAAGACUGAGAUUUCUACCCAUUCCCUUCUUUCUUCCCCACUCACUCACUAGCACAUGCCCUAGAUACUCCCAACUGUGCAUA